CCCCACGUUCACUGCAUGAUUCAUAGCCACGCGUUCCAGGAAACAAACUCACUCAGAAGGACAAUGCAGAUAGUGGAGUGCAGUUUAUUACACCGGCGGGCCCAAGGCAGAGUCUCCUCUUAGCCGAGGAUCUCAACCAGUCUUUGUGAAAACCUUAUAUACCCUGAGUGUAUCAGGUUUGCUGAAACUAGUCUGAAGAAAGGAAAAAGAAAGAACAAUAAAAGUUAACCCGUGAUUCAUAUGCCUUAAACCUAGUUAACAGUGGACAAUUAUCAAUAGGCUUGUGGUCAUACCCCAAUAAACAUAAUAGAAUGUAUGAUUCUAUUCGGUUACACAGAUAAUCAGGGUAUUCUUUUAGGCAUGGAAAGCCCUAGGGCUCUUCCUUCCGGGGGCCUGGUUUUCCAGUUGGUAUGUCGUUUCCAUAGACACUGGGCAUAUAGCUCAAAGUCCACAGUCCGGCCCAAGAUGGAGUCCUGCUUUCAAGACAGAGCCUGUUCUCUUUUCUCCUUCAAUAGUAGCCAAGAUUUGGAAACAACCUGUGUCCACUGGCAGGCUCUCCAAGACAAGCGAUCACAACACAGAAAACCAGGCAGCACCGCUCCAUUUCACAGAAGAAAAAAGGGAAGCAGCAAUAAACUUCAGAAGGCAGUACACUCAUCUGUCCCUUAAAUCAGAAGAAAAAGCAUCAAAACUGGGGCGAGGGGAGGGGCCACAGGAGAACUACAUUAAAAGGUGAAUUCCUUCUUCCACAUUUUGUCUAAGAUUUUGACAUACCAAAUUUUCUUAAACCUACAAAAGUAAAACUCAACCUGUACUUUUUUCUCCAUUACUUUUUCCUUGAUGCCCUUUCUAUAUAAGAGGUAGGGUGAAAAACUAUAAAGAAAAAAACAAAUUAAAACAGACAAACUCUCCAUAUUAACAUAAUUUAUCAACAUCUUCAUACCAAAGUGUAACAGUCAAUAAUGUUAACCUUAUGAGUUCCUAAAAUCUAGUGUAUUUUCUCAGGAAGGUCUUGAUAAAAUGCCUAUUCAACUGCCUGCAAAAUCUGCCAACAAAAGAAGAGUUACCCUAUACAAAAUACUAAUGUGUAUUUAACAUUGCUGUGUAAUUUUUAUACAUCUGUUUUCUAAGACCAGGCAUAGUUCCACUGUAGCUGCCCUGGAAGACAGAGAGCCUGAACAGAUAUUGGCACUUUUGCCCUGAACAGGAAACACAAACGAGAAGAAGGGGGU